CAGCCGCCGCGGGAAAACGUAGGGUGCGAGCGUUAAUCGGAAUUACUGGGCGUAAAGCGUGCGCAGGCGGUUGUGUAAGACAGGUGUGAAAUCCCCGGGCUUAACCUGGGAACUGCGCUUGUGACUGCACAGCUAGAGUAUGGCAGAGGGGGGUGGAAUUCCACGUGUAGCAGUGAAAUGCGUAGAGAUGUGGAGGAACACCGAUGGCGAAGGCAGCCCCCUGGGCCAAUACUGACGCUCAUGCAGGAAAGCGUGGGGAGCAAACAGGAUUAGAUACCCCGGUAGUCCCUGUCUCUUAUAC
rnacentral:rRNA from 1 species